UUCACCGUCGAGUCAUCAAAGCCGUCAACUAAUUCAGAGGGGCUCGGCUGGCCCGGUCGCCCUACGCUACUGGCGCUUCCAAAAGCGAAGCUCUCGUCUUUGGCGACCAGCAAACGGAGGGCUAAAACCUGUAGUUUUGAAGCAAAGAGAUCGGAAGAGUGGC